UACAGAGGUCCCAAGCGUUGUUCGGAUUCACUGGGCGUAAAGGGUGCGUAGGUGGUCGGGUAAGUCUGAUGUGAAAUCCCGCAGCUCAACUGCGGAAUGGCAUUGGAUACUAUUUGGCUAGAGGGUUGGAGGGGGGACUGGAAUUCUCGGUGUAGCAGUGAAAUGCGUAGAUAUCGAGAGGAACACCAGUGGCGAAGGCGAAUCUCUGGACAGUUACUGACACUGAGGCACGAAGGCCAGGGGAGCAAACAGG
rnacentral:rRNA from 1 species